rnacentral:tRNA from 1 species
GCCGGGAUGGGGUAGCUUGGCCUAUCCUGGGGGACUGUGGAUCCCUCGACCCGGGUUCAAAGCGAGACGGGGCCGUCCCCCGUCUCCUGAGACUCUCGGUCCCGGCC